rnacentral:rRNA from 1 species
AUGCGAUAAGUAAUGUGAAUUGCAGAAUUCAGUGAAUCAUCGAAUCUUUGAACGCACCUUGCGCCCCUUGGUAUUCCGAGGGGCACGCCUGUUUGAGUGUCGUGAAAU